rnacentral:rRNA from 1 species
GAUGAACGCUAGCGACAGGCCUAACACAUGCAAGUCGAGGGGCAGCAUGGUAGUAGCUUGCUACUAUUGAUGACGACCGGCGCACGGGUGAGUAACACGUAUGCAACCGGCCUGUAAGCGGGGGAUAACCCAGAGAAAUCUGGACUAAUACCGCAUAAUAUCACAGUUUCGCAUGUUAUUGUGAUUAAAGAUGUAUUGAUUACAGCUGGGCAUGCGUCGGAUUAGCUAGUUGGCGGGGUAACGGCCCACCAAGGCUACGAUCAGUAGGGGUUCUGAGAGGAAGGUCCCCCACAUUGGAACUGAGACACGGUCCAAACUCCUACGGGAGGCAGCAGUGAUGAAUAUUGGUCAAUGGACGAGAGUCUGAACCAGCCAUGUCGCGUGAAGGACGACGGUCCUAUGGAUUGUAAACUUCUUUUAUAUGGGAAUAAAGUGUGGGACGUGUCCCAUUUUGUAUGUACCAUUAUGAAUAAGCAUCGGCUAACUCCGUGCCAGCCGCCGCCGUAAGAC